rnacentral:rRNA from 1 species
AUACGUAGGGGGCGAGCGUUGUCCGGAAUUACUGGGCGUAAAGGGUGCGUAGGCGGCUUUUUAAGUUGGAUGUGAAAUACCCGAGCUUAACUUGGGGGGUGCAUUCAAAACUGGAGAGCUAGAGUUCAGGAGAGGGAAGCGGAAUUCCUAGUGUAGCGGUGAAAUGCGUAGAUAUUAGGAGGAACACCAGUGGCGAAGGCGGCUUUCUGGACUGACACUGACGCUGAGGCACGAAAGCGUGGGGAGC